rnacentral:rRNA from 1 species
GAUGAACGCUGGCGGCGUGCCUAAUACAUGCAAGUCGAGCGAACGGACGAGAAGCUUGCUUUUCUGAUGUUAGCGGCGGACGGGUGAGUAACUCGUGGAUAACCUACCUAUAAGACUGGGAUAACUUCGGGAAACCGGAGCUAAUACCGGAUAAUAUUUUGAACCGCAUGGUUCAAAAGUGAAAGACGGUCUUGCUGUCACUUAUAGAUGGAUCCGCGCUGCAUUAGCUAGUUGGUAAGGUAACGGCUUACCAAGGCAACGAUGCAUAGCCGACCUGAGAGGGUGAUCGGCCACACUGGAACUGAGACACGGUCCAGACUCCUACGGGAGGCAGCAGUAGGGAAUCUUCCGCAAUGGGCGAAAGCCUGACGGAGCAACGCCGCGUGAGUGAUGAAGGUCUUCGGAUCGUAAAACUCUGUUAUUAGGGAAGAACAUAUGUGUAAGUAACUGUGCACAUCUUGACGGUACCUAAUCAGAAAGCCACGGCUAACUACGUGCCAGCAGCCGCGGUAAUACGUAGGUGGCAAGCGUUAUCCGGAAUUAUUGGGCGUAAAGCGCGCGUAGGCGGUUUUUUAAGUCUGAUGUGAAAGCCCACGGCUCAACCGUGGGGGGUCAUUGGAAACUGGAAAACUUGAGUGCAGAAGAGGAAAGUGGAAUUCCAUGUGUAGCGGUGAAAUGCGCAGAGAUAUGGAGGAACACCAGUGGCGAAGGCGACUUUCUGGUCUGUAACUGACGCUGAUGUGCGAAAGCGUGGGGAUCAAACAGGAUUAGAUACCCUGGUAGUCCACGCCGUAAACGAUGAGUGCUAAGUGUUAGGGGGUUUCCGCCCCUUAGUGCUGCAGCUAACGCAUUAAGCACUCCGCCUGGGGAGUACGACCGCAAGGUUGAAACUCAAAGGAAUUGACGGGGACCCGCACAAGCGGUGGAGCAUGUGGUUUAAUUCGAAGCAACGCGAAGAACCUUACCAAAUCUUGACAUCCUUUGACAACUCUAGAGAUAGAGCCUUCCCCUUCGGGGGACAAAGUGACAGGUGGCGCAUGGUUGUCGUCAGCUCGUGUCGUGAGAUGUUGGGUUAAGUCCCGCAACGAGCGCAACCCUUAAGCUUAGUUGCCAUCAUUAAGUUGGGCACUCUAAGUUGACUGCCGGUGACAAACCGGAGGAAGGUGGGGAUGACGUCAAAUCAUCAUGCCCCUUAUGAUUUGGGCUACACACGUGCUACAAUGGACAAUACAAAGGGCAGCGAAACCGCGAGGUCAAGCAAAUCCCAUAAAGUUGUUCUCAGUUCGGAUUGUAGUCUGCAACUCGACUACAUGAAGCUGGAAUCGCUAGUAAUCGUAGAUCAGCAUGCUACGGUGAAUACGUUCCCGGGUCU